CAUGUGUCUUGAGACUCCAGAUGAUGUAAAUUAAUUAGCAAACCAUUGUUCUAGUAACCUGGUUCACUCCCGCCAUCAUAACAUGCUUUGAAUCAUAUGGAAGGAGAUUUAGUCUCAUGAUGUAUUCAUGUGAGAGUUUACCUUAAGGAUCUGUGACUGAAACUGGCUCGGACAAACACACAAACACCUUGUGUGCAAAAAAUAACUGAGAACAUACACAAACACAUGCUCGUCGAAAUUUGAGGUGGAGGGCGGUGCAGAGGGGACGGCCAGGUCGCCGGCAAGUGCAACGACGCCCAGCUCGCGGUGGCUCUGGUCGAGCGGCGAGCGCAAGCCCUCCUGGGCGGCGCACAACA
rnacentral:lncRNA from 1 species